CCUACGGGAGGCAGCAGUGAGGAAUUUUGGUCAAUGGACGAGAGUCUGAACCAGCCAAGUAGCGUGAAGGAUGAAUGCCCUAUGGGUUGUAAACUUCUUUUAUAUGGGAAUAAAAUGUCCCACGGGUGGGAGUUUGUAUGUAUCAUAUGAAUAAGGAUCGGCUAACUCCGUGCCAGCAGCCGCGGUAAUACGGAGGAUCCGAGCGUUAUCCGGAUUUAUUGGGUUUAAAGGGAGCGUAGGUGGAUUGUUAAGUCAGUUGUGAAAGGUUUCGGCUCAACCGUAAAAUUGCAGUUGAAACUGGCAGUCUUGAGUACAGUAGAGGGGGGUGGAACUCGAGGUGUAGCGGUAAAAUGCGUAGAUAUCACGAAGAACUCCAGUUGCGAAGGCAGCUCACUGGACUGCAGCUGACACUGAGGCUCGAAAGUGUGGGUAUCAAAUAGGAUUAGAUACCCGGGUAGUC
rnacentral:rRNA from 1 species